rnacentral:pre_miRNA from 1 species
UUCUAUGGAUAAGCAAAGAAAGUGGAUUCCUGAGAUGGAAUCUACUCCUGGUGAAGGUGUUGUGAA